CUAGAGAAGCUGCAGUCGGCUGCUGAGGUGAUCAUCAGCUCCACCAUCAGCAUAGUGAGCAGCAGCAGCAACAUGGACUUCAGAAGUGCCUGCUUGAAACGCAUGAAGGUUCAUGACACUCACGGGUUAUCAGCCUCCCUCAGAGAGUCCCUGUGGAGGGUGUCGUCAUGGAAACGGCUCCCUAAAGCCGGGUGCUAUUCUGCUCAGCAGGUUGAAGAUCAAGCUGCGAGUAACGAGGCCAUCAGAGCUGAAAUCUGACAAAGUUUUUCUUUUUUUUUAAAUUCUGG